GACGAACGCUGGCGGCGUGCUUAACACAUGCAAGUCGAACGGAAAGGCCCUGCUUUUGUGGGGUGCUCGAGUGGCGAACGGGUGAGUAACACGUGAGUAACCUGCCCUUGACUUUGGGAUAACUUCAGGAAACUGGGGCUAAUACCGGAUAGGAGCUCCUGCUGCAUGGUGGGGGUUGGAAAGUUUCGGCGGUUGGGGAUGGACUCGCGGCUUAUCAGCUUGUUGGUGGGGUAGUGGCUUACCAAGGCUUUGACGGGUAGCCGGCCUGAGAGGGUGACCGGCCACAUGGGGACUGAGAUACGGCCCAGACUCCUACGGGAGGCAGCAGUGGGGAAUAUUGCACAAGGGGCGGAAGCCUGAGGCAGCAACGCCGCGUGCGGGAGGACGGCCUUCGGGUUGUAAACCGCUUUCGCCUGUGACGAAGCGUGAGUGACGGUAAUGGGUAAAGAAGCACCGGCUAACUACGU
rnacentral:rRNA from 1 species